rnacentral:tRNA from 2 species
CUUUUCGCUUAGUGGUAGAGUUAUGCUUUGGUAAGACGUAAGUCAUCGGUUCGAAUCCAAGAAAG